ACUGGGAUAACUUCGGGAAACCGARGCUAAUACCGGAUAGGAUCUUCUCCUUCAUGGGAGAUGAUUGAAAGAUGGUUUCGGCUAUCACUUACAGAUGGGCCCGCGGUGCAUUAGCUAGUUGGUGAGGUAACGGCUCACCAAGGCAACGAUGCAUAGCCGACCUGAGAGGGUGAUCGGCCACACUGGGACUGAGACACGGCCCAGACUCCUACGGGAGGCAGCRGUAGGGAAUCUUCCGCAAUGGACGAAAGUCUGACGGAGCAACGCCGCGUGAGUGAUGAAGGCUUUCGGGUCGUAAAACUCUGUUGUUAGGGAAGAACAAGUACAAGAGUAACUGCUUGUACCUUGACGGKACCUAACCAGAAAGCCACGGCUAACUACGUGCCAGCAGCCGCGGUAAUACGUAGGUGGCAAGCGUUAUMCGGAAUUAUUGGGCGUAAAGCGCGCGCAGGSSGSUUUCUUAWGUCUGAUGUGAAAGCCCACGGCUCAACCSUSGMGGGKCAKUGGAAACUGGGGAACUUGAGUGCAGAAGAGAAAAGCGGAAYUCCACGUGUAGCGGUGAAAUGCGUAGAGAUGUGGA
rnacentral:rRNA from 1 species